rnacentral:rRNA from 1 species
GAUGAACGCUGGCGGCGUGCCUAAUACAUGCAAGUCGAGCGAACAGACCAGAAGCUUGCUCUUCUGUCGUUAGCGGCGGACGGGUGAGUAACACGUGGAUAACCUACCUUUUAGACUGGGAUAACUUCGGGAAACCGGUGCUAAUACCGGAUAAUAUGUUCUACCGCAUGAUUCAUUAGUGAAAGACGGCUUUGCUGUCCCUUAUAGAUUGUUCCGCGCCGCCUUAGCUUGUUGGUAAGGUAACGGCUUACCAAGGCGAAGAUGCGUAGCCGACCUGAGAGGGGGAUCGGCCACACUGGAACUGAGACACGGGCCAGACGCCUACGGGAGGGAGCAGUAGGGAAUCUUCCGCAAUGGGCGAAAGCCUGACGGAGCAACGCCGCGGGGGUGAAGAAGGGCUUCGGGUUGUAAAACUCUGUUAGUAGGGAAGAAAAAAGGUAUAAGUAAACAGGCAUGUCUGGACGGUACCUAAACAGAAAGCCACGGCUAACUACGUG